GAUUGCGUAUUUCCUACUAUAUGCCUAUAAAUGAGGAAUUUACUAAUUAAAACUUCUUCAAUUAAUAAUCCGAAGAUUAAGGUUUCCAUGAAUCUCCUUAAUAUACACACAUUUAUGCAUAAUGAAUCAAUUUCAAAUGUCAGGUUGAUAUUUUAAAUUUCAAUUUGAGGUCGUUUACCGUUUGAGGAGAAUGGCAACACACCAGAUUUGAGAGGUCAAAAACAUCCAUCAAUAGAUGAUUUCAGCAGCAUAUAAGAGAUACUUGAUACUGAUGUUAUUGAUUUCUUCAAUGAUGUUUGAAUUUUUUUUUUCAGUCAUACUCGAGAAUUUUAUCUUAUUAUUACGACUUUCUGCUUCUUCUGCUUCUUCUAUUUCUUUUUUCUUCUUCCUGCUGUCACAUUGUUGGAGAAGUGCUUGGAUAUAACGUUUCAUCUCUUGCCCGCCAAGUGUUUGCUGAAAGGCUUGAAUGAAAUAUUAAAUAUAUACGUUUACUUGGGGGAUCAAUAAAAAAAUAAGGCACUUUCCAUUGGGUGUGCUACAUCUAUAUGUGUGUAGUCAACAAGGACGAUGAAGAUAUUUGCUAUAGUUCAAAUGAGGACGAUGCUAAUGAAAUCUUUUAACUAUGGAGCAUCUAAUAUGUAGUCAAAAAGGUACUAGGAAGGGAAGUUUUUUCAUUUCCUAACAUAUCAUCUGAUAUAUGGCAAGUAUGAGCUUGGUUACGGAUUUGCCUUUCUAUUGAUAAUCGAUAUAAGAAACCACCACCUUUCGAUAUUUGCUCUGCCACCUAUUACAAUAAUUGUUUACCAGGUUAUGUUACCAUUUUUUUUGUAUACACACAUUGCUAUAUUUAGUAAACCUUCAUUAGAUUCUAAUCUAUAAGGAAAUCCAAUACUUUUUUAGAGUUAAGAAACAAGGGACAAGAAUUUUUUUUAUAUCUGCAUAUUAUAUUGAGUAAACUCUCAUUGAUUUUUUUUCUCAUGUAGAUGAAAGUUGAUUGCUAUUUCUUACACUUAAAAUUGUUUGGAUUUUUCAAACUAAAAUACUGUAACAUGAAGUGAAAGUACAUUGUUAUUUGUAUUUCUUGUUAUUGUGCAUGGUUAUUGACUGAAAUAGCAACAAACGUUUCCAAAAGUCUUGAUCAUGGAAACAUACUUCAAAUGAAAAUUAUAAUAAGAUCUUAAAAUUGCUUAUGAUAGCAUUGUAAGUUAAUUAAAUACACCUAAAAAAACAACUUUUUAUGAAAAUUUUAAUAUUUCUUCAUGUGUUGCAGAUAGUGUUGGUUGUUGCUGUCUAUCUUCUGUUAAUGAGAGUAUAUAAAGUUAUGACAUGUCAAUAUCAUCAUAACAAGUUGUUACCCUAAGUAACUUUCUUGAAAGAUAUGAGAAUUUAGCAUGAAAUUGUUUUCACCUAUGUAUUUUAUCUUUUUUAAUUAUAUAGUUUUUUUUUCUUUUCAAAAUACAAGCAAAUUAAUUAUUUAGCUUUGUAUACAUAGGAAUGAUUGUUGUUAUUGAAUUUCAAAGUUUGAAUUAUGUAUCUACAUAAGUAAUUUGUCAAUUUUUUAAAAUUUUCUGUCCAAAUAAAAUCAGUUGGCAUAUGGGCUUAUUUAUGUCAAACUGUUUUCUGAUCAUUUUUUCCCAAAAUUUUAACUUGUCCUAAAAAAAUAAACCAAUUUGUGAAGAUGGAGCAGGGCUCACAGAUGGUAUCUUUUUGUCUUGACACUCUUUAGAAAAAUGAUACUUUUUUUUUGUCUUUUUUUUCCUUCUAGAUUUCUUCCCCUACUACUUUUCCUAUAUUUCCUUUAAUAAACACACAUCUUACUGAUUAUAUAAAAAUUUUAUUUAGUAUAUUCAAAGUUAGACAAAAAUAAUUGUAAGUCUUUUGUAAUUUUCUCAAAGUGUGAUGCUAUAUGUAAUGUCAUAAUGAAAUAAAUGAGAGUGUGAUGAUAUAAUAACCAAUAAAUGAAAAUAUGUUCAUAUUCUUUGUGCUAAAUGCAAGAAAUCAUAAGAUAUUUUUUUAAUAUGUGUCUUAUAACAUCGUACUUUCCUCCCUUCGUGUUACAACAUAAUACAUAGCAGAGUCUAUAAAAAGAAACAUACUUUUAUUAUUUUUUUUAUUAAAAAUAGCAACAUACUUUUAUUAAUUUUUUUAAUGUGCAUCUUAUAACAUCCUACUUUCAUUUGGUUAAUGAUCACAUAUAUAUAUUUUUUAUUAUCCAUGUUCGAAAUUUUGUUUUGACAACAAACAACCUCAAUAGUUGAAUCUAAUAUCUCUGUUCAUCCAUGUAUUUAUCUUAAAUUUCAAUUUGAUGGAGUAUGAAAUUUGUAGAGAAAUUGAGUCAUUUUAGAAUCUGAGAUUCAUUUUAAUUUAUAUGAAGACAAGAUACUUGAUUAGCUUUACUAUCUUCAGCAAAUAUAAAUUGCAAUAGAAUUGUUUGAUAAUCAUGUCUGGAACAAGUCAUCACCAAUUUAUAAGAAGAAUAAAAGGAGGAACUUCAAUAUGAGCAGUUCAUGAAUUAUAAAUCAUUUAAUUUCUCUUAUUCUAGACAUUUUUGGUUGUUUUUUAAGGUUAUUUCAGGAAAUAUCACUUCAGGGAGGUAGUGAGUUCUUGGGUAAUUUUUCUAGUCAGGUCAUGUAAAUUUGACGUUUAAAUUAUGGUCUAUUUGACCCAAUAUCUGAUUAUUUUUGUGUUUUUUUUUAUGCAAAGAAAGCCAGGUUGAAUGUAAUAGAGCAUACAAUGAAUAUAUUUUUGGAGCUGGAAAUUUAAAAUCUAUGUUGAUCAAUUUAGGAAAAGCACAAUCUUGGAAAUGUUUAAACUUUCUAAUAUAAAAUUUAACAUGCUAUUUGAAUUAUAUGGGAAAAUGUAAACUUUUAGAUUAAAGUGGUGACUAUGUAAGAUUAAACUGAAAUAAAUGGAUAAGACUAAACUCAACACUAAUAUGCAUUGCUGUUGGUUGAUUAAUAUAUAACGGAUUAUACAUUUUUGAUAUCAAGCAUUUUAGGUUCCAUUUCAACCAAAUGCUUAGAUUAAUACACUCAAGUAGGUCAAUUAAUAUUGGAUUUCCUUGUCCAUAUUUUCAUUUAUGGGCUGUUUAGAUGGUUUUUUAAUUUUUGAUCUUUAUAUAGUGUCUUGCAGGUAAAAGAAGACAGAGUUAAAGCUUUCAUUAGCCUGCUUAAAAUCUCUUGAUAAAUUCACCUUUGGUAUGGGUUUAACUCAGGUACGAAUUUCAAAAUUGGACAUUUCACAACAUUUAGAUUGUUACCAAAUCUUAACUUUUUAAGCAAAUAAAGCUUGUGUAUUACCUAACUUAAGUUGUGUUGACAUUAAUUCAUAAUUAAAGAUUUAUAUGAUUGCUGGUGAAUAUGAUCUGAAGCUAAAUGAGAAACAAGUGAAAAAACUUUGUUAGGGCUACAUGCCAACACCCACUUGAACGGGGAAAAACAUCAUGAAGGUAUGCAUUUUAUAACCUAAAUUUUUAAGGAUGCAAUAAUAAGUUGUAUCUACUUUUAAGUAUGCAAUAAAAAUAUGUAUCUACCUGGCUUAAAACAAGUGCGAACAGGUCAUGAGAUUAGUUUCACGGGAAUCUGAUGCUACAAACUUGCCUGUAUCAAGGACUUCAUUAUACCAAGGACUUCAUUUGACUGUUUGCCUUUUCUUUUCAUCUAAGUGAGUCUUAAUGAUUCCAUUUAGAAAUUUUUUAUAGUUGGUGUAAUUAAGAAUCAGAGAUUUUUUUUAUAGUUGAUGUAAUUAAGAAUCUGAAGCGUUGAUAUACAAAUAAUAAACAUUUGGUUCAUUAUUUAUAAAAGUAAAAACCAAAGAAUAAAGGGUCCCGAUCAAACAUGAUCAUUUGAUAAGUUCAAAAAUGUCAAUCGUAAACACAAAUUAAUAUAAAUAUCUUACUCAAUUCAUUUGACAAACUCAAUAUUUUAUCUUUAUUGACAUUUUUCUAAUGAAGAAUUAAUUAAAACUCAUAAACAUGGAAACCGACAUCAUUUUUCAACCAAAUGUUUGCUAAAAGUACUUUUAUUAAUGGUAUUAACAUUGUCCACUGAACCAUAAUGUUAGAGUUAUUUAUUAAAAUGAUCAUAUUUUCAAUUCAUUUAUACAUGCGUAAACCCGUUUUACUAAUAGUGAGUUAUAUGUCAAUGUUUCUCACGUCACAAAUAAAAAAGACUUGAAUGUAUUUAUAUAUGACGAGAAAGAUUGUCCAACUAAUAAAACAAAAAUAUUGUCGACAAAGAAGUCAUUCAACGAUUAUAGAUAUUCAUGUAUUUCAUUGUUUUUUUUCCAGACAUUUAAUAUUACCAGUAAUGCUAAUUUUGUUUCUGUUACUUCAUUUUUCUAUUAUUAUGCCAUUUUUUAUAACUCUAUAUGUUUUUUAUAUAUAUUUUUUCCGCGUUUUACGAGGGUUAUAAUCUAGUUAUUAUUAUAUUAAAAUUUGGUCGGAUUUAUACAACGAGUUAUUACCACACACCGAACAAUAGUAC